GAUGAACGCUAGCGGCAGGCUUAAUACAUGCAAGUCGAGGGACAGCACAGGUAGCAAUACUGGGUGGUAACCGGCAAACGGGUGCGGAACACGUACACAACCUUCCUUUAAGUGGGGGAUAGCCCAGAGAAAUUUGGAUUAAUACCCCGUAGUAUAGUUGAAUGGCAUCAUUUGAUUAUUAUAGCUACGGCGCUUAAGGAUGGGUGUGCGGCUGAUUAGAUAGUUGGCGGGGUAACGGCCCACCAAGUCUACGAUCAGUAGCUGAUGCGAGAGCAUGAUCAGCCACACGGGCACUGAGACACGGGCCCGACUCCUACGGGAGGCAGCAGUAAGGAAUAUUGGUCAAUGGACGCAAGUCUGAACCAGCCAUGCCGCGUGAAGGAUUAAGGUCCUCUGGAUUGUAAACUUCUUUUAUUUGGGACGAAAAAGGGCCUUUCUAGGUCAACUGACGGUACCAGAUGAAUAAGCACCGGCUAACUCCGUGCCAGCCGCCGCAGUAAUAC
rnacentral:rRNA from 1 species